CCUACGUGAGGCAGCAGUGGGGAAUAUUGGGCAAUGGGCGCAAGCCUGACCCAGCAACGCCGCGUGAAGGAAGAAGGCCUUCGGGUUGUAACCUUCUUUUGUCAGGGACGAAGAAAGUGACGGUACCUGACGCAUAAGCCACGGCUAACUACGUGCCAGCAGCCGCGGUAAUACGUAGGUGGCAAGCGUUAUCCGGAUUUACUGGGUGUAAAGGGCGUGUAGGCGGGAGAGCAAGUCAGACGUGAAAUUCCAGGGCUCACCCCUGGAACUGCGUUUGAAACUGUUCUUCUUGAGUGAUGGAGAGGCAGGCGGAAUUCCGUGUGUAGCGGUGAAAUGCGUAGAUAUACGGAGGAACACCAGGGGCGAAGGCGGCCUGCUGGACAUUAACUGACGCUGAGGCGCGAAAGCGUGGGGAGCAAACAGGAUUAGAUACCCCAGUAGUC
rnacentral:rRNA from 1 species